AUCUUGGGAGCUUGCUCCUGGGUGAGCAGUGGCGAACGGGUGAGUAACACGUGAGUAACCUGCCCCUGACUCUGGAAUAAGCGCUGGAAACGGCGUCUAAUACCGGAUACGAGACGCAACCGCAUGGUUAGUGUCUGAAAAGUUUUUCGGUCUGGGAUGGACUCGCGGCCUAUCAGCUUGUUGGUGAGGUAACGGCUCACCAAGGCAAUGACGGGUAGCCGGCCUGAGAGGGCGAUCGGCCACACUGGGACUGAGACACGGCCCAGACUCC
rnacentral:rRNA from 1 species